rnacentral:rRNA from 1 species
UCAGGAUGAACGCUGGCGGCGUGCCUAAUACAUGCAAGUCGAGCGAGAAUCAGUGAUGCAGAGAUCGUCAAAGCGGAUCUGAGGAAAGCGGCGGACGGGUGAGUAACGCGUAGGCAACCUGCCCUUAGCAGAGGGAUAGCCAUUGGAAACGAUGAUUAAAACCUCAUAAUGCUGUUUUUACACAUGUAGAGACAGCCAAAGAUUUAUCGGCUAAGGAUGGGCCUGCGUCUGAUUAACUAGUUGGUGGGGUAACGGCUCACCAAGGUGACGAUCAGUAGCCGACCUGAGAGGGUGAUCGGCCACAUUGGAACUGAGACACGGUCCAAACUUCUACGGAAGGCAGCAGUAAGGAAUCUUGCACAAUGGGGGAAACCCUGAAUGCAGCAACGCCGCGUGAACGAUGAAGGCCUUAGGGUUGUAAAGUUCUGAUCUGUGGGAAGAAGAAGUGACGGUACCACAGGAGAAAGCCCCGGCUAAAUACGUGCCAGCCGCAGC